UGCAAGUCGAGCGGAGUGAUGGUGCUUGCACUAUCACUUAGCGGCGGACGGGUGAGUAAUGCUUAGGAAUCUGCCUAUUAGUGGGGGACAACAUUUCGAAAGGAAUGCUAAUACCGCAUACGUCCUACGGGAGAAAGCAGGGGAUCUUCGGACCUUGCGCUAAUAGAUGAGCCUAAGUCGGAUUAGCUAGUUGGUGGGGUAAAGGCCUACCAAGGCGACGAUCUCUAGCGGGUCUGAGAGGAUGAUCCGCCACACUGGGACUGAGACACGGCCCAGACUCCUACGGGAGGCAGCAGUGGGGAAUAUUGGACAAUGGGCGCAAGCCUGAUCCAGCCAUGCCGCGUGUGUGAAGAAGGCCUUAUGGUUGUAAAGCACUUUAAGCGAGGAGGAGGCUACUGAAGUUAAUACCUUCAGAUAGUGGACGUUACUCGCAGAAUAAGCACCGGCUAACUCUGUGCCAGCAGCCGCGGUAAUACAGAGGGUGCAAGCGUUAAUCGGAUUUACUGGGCGUA
rnacentral:rRNA from 1 species